UACGUAGGGGGCAAGCGUUGUCCGGAUUUAUUGGGCGUAAAGAGCGUGUAGGCGGCCAUACAGGUCCGUUGUGAAAACUCGAGGCUUAACCUCGAGACGUCGAUGGAAACCGUAUGGCUAGAGUCCGGAAGAGGAGAGUGGAAUUCCUGGUGUAGCGGUGAAAUGCGCAGAUAUCAGGAGGAACACCAGCGGCGAAGGCGCUGCUCUGGGCCGGUACUGACGCUGAGGAGCGAAAGCGUGGGGAGCGAACAGG
rnacentral:rRNA from 1 species